UACGGCCAUAUCACGUUGAAACGCCGGUUCUCGUACGAUCAUUGAAGUUAAGCAAAGUCGAGCUUGUCAGUGCUUAGAUGGGUGACCACUUGGGAAAACCAGGUGCUGUAAG